rnacentral:rRNA from 1 species
AGAGUUUGAUCCUGGCUCAGAACGAACGCUGGCGGCAGGCCUAACACAUGCAAGUCGAGCGCGCCUUCGGGUGAGCGGCGGACGGGUUAGUAACGCGUGGGAACGUGCCCUUCUCUACGGAAUAGCCUCUGGAAACGGAGAGUAAUACCGUAUACGCCCUUUGGGGGAAAGAUUUAUCGGAGAAGGAUCGGCCCGCGUUAGAUUAGGUAGUUGGUGGGGUAAUGGCCUACCAAGCCUACGAUCUAUAGCUGGUUUUAGAGGAUGAUCAGCAACACUGGGACUGAGACACGGCCCAGACUCCUACGGGAGGCAGCAGUGGGGAAUCUUAGACAAUGGGGGCAACCCUGACCUAGCCAUGCCGCGUGAGUGAUGAAGGCCUUAGGGUCGUAAAGCUCUUUCGCCUGUGAUGAUAAUGACAGUAGCAGGUAAAGAAACCCGGCUAACUCCGUGCCAGCAGCCGCGGUAAUACGGAGGGGGUUAGCGUUGUUCGGAAUUACUGGGCGUAAAGCGCGCGUAGGCGGAUUAGAAAGUUGGGGGUGAAAUCCCGGGGCUCAACCUCGGAACUGCCUCCAAAACUGCUAGUCUAGAGUUCGAGAGAGGUGAGUGGAAUUCCGAGUGUAGAGGUGAAAUUCGUAGAUAUUCGGAGGAACACCAGUGGCGAAGGCGGCUCACUGGCUCGAUACUGACGCUGAGGUGCGAAAGUGUGGGGAGCAAACAGGAUUAGAUACCCUGGGUAGUCCACACCGUAAACGAUGAAUGCCAGUCGUCGGGUAGUAUACUAUUCGGUGACACACCUAACGGAUUAAGCAUUCCGCCUGGGGAGUACGGUCGCAAGAUUAAACUCAAAGGAAUUGACGG